rnacentral:rRNA from 1 species
UGGGGAAUAUUGGACAAUGGGCGAAAGCCUGAUCCAGCCAUGCCGCGUGUGUGAAGAAGGUCUUCGGAUUGUAAAGCACUUUAAGUUGGGAGGAAGGGCAGUAAGUUAAUACCUUGCUGCUUUGACGUUACCGACAGAAUAAGCACCGGCUAACUCUGUGCCAGCAGCCGCGGUAAUACAGAGGGUGCAAGCGUUAAUCGGAAUUACUGGGCGUAAAGCGCGCGUAGGUGGUUUGUUAACUUGGAUGUGAAAGCCCCGGGCUCAACCUGGGAAAUGCAUCCAAAACUGGCAAGCUAGAGUACGGUAGAGGGUGGUGGAAUUUCCUGUGUAGCGGUGAAAUGCGUAGAUAUAGGAAGGAACACCAGUGGCGAAGGCGACCACCUGGACUGAUACUGACACUGAGGUGCGAAAGCGUGGGGAGCAAACA